rnacentral:rRNA from 1 species
UAGGGAAUCUUCGGCAAUGGACGAAAGUCUGACCGAGCAACGCCGCGUGAGUGAAGAAGGUUCUCGGAUCGUAAAACUCUGUUGUUAGAGAAGAACAAGGACGUUAGUAACUGAACGUCCCCUGACGGUAUCUAACCAGAAAGCCACGGCUAACUACGUGCCAGCAGCCGCGGUAAUACGUAGGUGGCAAGCGUUGUCCGGAUUUAUUGGGCGUAAAGCGAGCGCAGGCGGUUUCUUAAGUCUGAUGUGAAAGCCCCCGGCUCAACCGGGGAGGGUCAUUGGAAACUGGGAGACUUGAGUGCAGAAGAGGGGAGUGGAAUUCCAUGUGUAGCGGUGAAAUGCGUAGAUAUAUGGAGGAACACCAGUGGCGAAGGCGGCUCUCUGGUCUGUAACUGACGCUGAGGCUCGAAAGCGUGGGGAGCAAACAGG